rnacentral:lncRNA from 1 species
CGCUCUCGUGUGUACCUGUACCCUAAAACCACACGGGGUGAGAACUAUAUAAAUAUAGUUCCCAGUGGGUUCGGCCGCCGACUCCGCCGAUCUUCCCACUAGGUCCAAGCUGGCACAGAUAGAUAGAUAGAAAGAUAUAUGGAAAUACUACUACUAUAUCUACUAUGCCAUCAAAUGCAAAUUAUGCAUGGAACAUCAUCUAGCAACAAUCUACUAUCAUGCUAAUAUGCCUCAACAGUGAAAUGAAUACAACUACAACAUAGUUAUGCAAUGUACUAUGUCUAAUCAUGGUAUGCAUGUCUAAUCAUGGUAUGAAUGCAAUACUCUUAAGGUAUUCAUGUUAUUGCCCAAUCCACUAGGCUACUUUGCCUAAGAUCUCAAAUCUAGUAGGUGAAAAGCUACCUCAUUUUUGUCUCAUUCGAUUUAUGUCUUAAGGGUCCUGAGCAAGAGCUACCCCGGUCCUCGCCCGACUUAGAUCUCGAAGGUCCGACCCAAUCUCGAAGGUCCUAGGCAAAGGCUACCCCGCACUUUGCCCGACUCACAUCUCNNNN